AUGCAGUCGAGCGAGCUCUUCGGACCUAGCGGCGGACGGGUUAGUAACGCGUGGGAACGUGCCCUUCACUGCGGAAUAGCCACUGGAAACGGUGAUUAAUACCGCAUACGCCCUUCGGGGGAAAGAUUUUUCGGGAAAGGACCGGCCCGCUUUAAAUAAGAUAGUUGUGGGGGUAACGGCCUACCAGGUCUACUAUCUAUAGCUGGUUUUAUAGGAUGAUCAUCAACACUGGGACUGAGACACGGCCAAAACCCCUACGGGAGGCAGCAGUGGGGAAUCUUGGACAUGGGGGGCACGCCUGAUCCAACCAUGCCACGUGAGUGAUAAAGGCCUUAGGGUCGUAAAGCUUUUUCGCCAAAGAUGAUAUGGACUGUAUCUGGUAAAGAAACCCGGGCUAACUCCGUGCCAUCACCCGCGGUAAUAGGAAUGGGGUUAUCGUUGUCCGGAAUUACUGGGCGUAAAGCCCACGUAGGCCGAUCGGAAGGUGGGGGGGUGAAAUCCCGGGGCUCAUCCCCGGAACUGCCUCCAAAACUUCUGGUCUUGAUU
rnacentral:rRNA from 1 species